GAUGAAGAACGUAGCGAAAUGUGAUAAGUAAUGUGAAUUGCAGAAUUCAGUGAAUCAUCGAAUCUUUGAACGCACAUUGCGCCCGCCAGUAUUCUGGCGGGCAUGCCUGUUCGAGCGUCAUUUCAACCAUCAAGCCCCCGGCUUGUGUUGGGGACCUGCGGCUGCCGCAGGCCCUGAAAAGCAGUGGCGGGCUCGCUGUCACACCGAGCGUAGUAGCAUACAUCUCGCUCUGGGCGUGCUGCGGGUUCCGGCCGUUAAACCACCUUCAUAACCCAAGGUUGACCUCGGAUCAGGUAGGAAGACCCGCUGAACUUAAGCAUAUCAAUAAGCGGAGGA
rnacentral:misc_RNA from 1 species